AUGGCCAGGGUGCGCGGGACGGGUCGGAUCUCACGCCGGCGGCCUCCUAAGGCGGUCCGCGGCGGCGGCGAAGACAGGAUCAGCGCCCUCCCCGAUGAUCUCCUCCUCCUCAUCCUGCGCCGCGUCGACACCCGCACGGCGCUCGGCACUGCGUCGCUGUCCAGGCGCUGGUCCCGCCUCCCCGCCGAGCUCCCCGCCCUGGACUUCAGUGUCUUCGACGUGCUCCCGGAGCGCUACUGCAGCUGGCUCCGCCUCCAUCUCAGGAUCGACGACGCCACGGAUGAGAGUGUCCUGGCUAACUUGAUGAGGUACGAGCGCCGCGCCAUGCGCGCCCUAAUCGGCUUCAUCCAGAGCCGCCUCUUGUUGGACGCUCCCCGGAGGCUCCGCCGGCUGGGGCUCCAGUUCUUCUCCGCCGACAAUAACAGCGGCCUCAUCAACCGGCUCGUCGCCAAGGCCAUCGACGACUGGGGGGUCAGCAAUCUGGAGGCCGUCGCCGCGCCGUUCUACACGCAGCCGGCCGCCGCCCACGCCUUUCCCGGCCACGGCCUCUGCGAGCGUCCCCGCGCGUCGCGCCUGCGGAAGCUCAAGCUCGGGGGCUGCGCCGUGCUCCCGCCGCUUCACGAGCACGGCGCGCUCACCAAGCUCGUCCUGCAAGACAUGCCGGAGUCGGUGCCUGUCGCGGCCUACGAGGCCGUGCUCGCCUCGUGCCCGCAGCUGCAGGUGCUGCACCUCGUGUGCUGCCUCUGCCGCGGCGCCGAGGUCAUGACCGUCGACGCCCCAAUGUCGCGGAUCAGGGAGCUCGUCGUCGACAGGUGCGAGUUCCCGACGAUGAUACGCAUGGCGGCCCUUCCCGGCCUCGAGAGGCUGGCCUCGCUCGGAACCAGGGUGUCCUUCGCGGAGUCCGCCUCGUUUCCCCGCCUCAGCCAGUGCAACCUCGCCUGGUUCUCCGAUGCCCAGCCGACAAGGACGGUGCUCGACUUCCUCGUCCGACGGACCCCGGACAUUGCCAGCCUUAUGAUCCGAUUCACCGGACCGGAGAGGUGGAUCGUGCCGUGGAGCCACCACCCGUCGUCGCUGCUGCCUAACCUGACAAGGCUACUGGUCGCCGACGUGCCUUCGUCCUGGGACGUCUCGUGGCCCCGGCUCCUCCUCGAGACGGCGCCUUCCCUCGAGACCCUGCAUGUCCACGUCGCCGCCUGCGUGCAGGAGCCCGGCGAGGAGAUAAGCUGGGGGGCUGCCGUGCCCCGGCACCAUGGCCUCAAGGAGUUCGUGAUGGCCGGUUUCGGGGGCACGGCGAGGCAGGUUUACCUUGUCAGGUUCGUCAUGGGAGCGUGCACGGCGCUGCGGUGUGUCGCCGUGUUCAAGGAAGGGCAUGCUCGUGACAAGGGGCACUGGGACUGGGAGAUAGUGGUGCAGCCACACUCGUGGACCGACGAGGAGAGGAACAACUUGCUGGGCCAGAUCAUGGAUGGCGCUUCUUCCUCGGCUGCCUCGGUUCAAAUGGUUUUUGGCUGA
rnacentral:rRNA from 1 species